rnacentral:rRNA from 1 species
UAACACCGGAGCCACAAGUGGCGAUCAUUUUUAUUGGGUCUAAAACGUCUGUAGCUGGUUUAGUAAGUUUCCUGUGAAAUUGUUAAGCCUAACUUAACGAAGUGCAAGAAAUACUAUUAAACUUGAGACCGGGAGAGGGCAGAAGUAUUCCAGGGGGAGCGGUAAAAUGUUGUAAUCCCUGGAGGACUACCUAUGGCGAAGGCAUCUGUCUAGAACGGGUCUGACAGUGAGAGAUGAAGGCUAGGAGAACGAUCAGGAUUAGAUACCCUAGUAGCCCUAGCUGUAAACGCUGUGAGUUGGGUGUUGCAUAUUCUUCGUGAAUGUGCAGUGCCGUAGCGAAGGUGUUAAACUCACUACCUGGGAAGUACGAUCGCAAGAUUG